GUUGGCUAUGGAGACAUGUACCCUAUGACCAUAGGCGGAAAGAUAGUGGGAUCUCUAUGUGCCAUAGCUGGGGUAUUGACCAUUGCCUUGCCAGUUCCUGUUAUAGUAUCAAAU
rfam:Xenopus laevis strain J chromosome 3L, whole genome shotgun sequence.